UCAUUGGCAGAAGCAACCGAAGGCAGAAC
rnacentral:sRNA from 1 species